rnacentral:lncRNA from 1 species
UGAGCCCUUAUUUUUUAGCCCUCUAAAAUAUUUGUUUUCUCUGGUGUUAAUAUAUGGAGUAAUGCUGGUUCCACUCUUCAAUUAGGUUCGAGAUGCAAAAAUAAAGGUUUUUGGAAGCCUGAAGCAAGAUACUGAUGAAGAUCGGUUAGAAUGGAAAAUUUUAGCUCAAUCUCUCAAGGUUAGAACUCUCUCUCCACCUUUUUUUUAGUUUGUAUAUCCUAUCCAAUGAGUUGAAUCAUCUCAAAUUGCAUCUAAGCUUUGCUUAUUUCUUUGGUUUAUUUUUAAGCUCGGCUUAACCAUUCCUGAUGGAGAAUAAGAGCGGAGACCCGCAGAUGGCUUUGAAAUCUGCAGCAUGAGCAGCAGAGAUUUGGAAAUGAAAUUGAAGGCUAAAUUUGGAUCACAGUUUCAGCACUUAAGGCGUCCACA